AAUUACAAAACACACUUCUCUCACGCUGCUUAUUCUUCACUGCCGGCAUCUCUCCCCUCCAAAUGACUGGCCAUCACCAUAACCAACGUCUUCAUCAUCUCCAAAACCAGCAGCGAACAGCAACACUGCCAUAGUCAUAGCAGCAACCAAACAACCCUUGAACGAAACGACCAGUUCAGUCCAUCGUUGCUGCCUCCUCGUCCGCCAUUGACGUCUCCCUCACAUCCAGCAGCAACCUCACGUCCAGCAGUUCUGUUUCUUUAUCAACAAAAACAUGACCAUAUGAUUUUUCUUUUCAGUUCUAUCAUGGAUUAAUUUUACACUUUAAUGUUUUGCUUCUUCUGGUUUUAAUAGAAAUCAAUUCAGUUCCGGUUGUGAAGUUUUGUUUGAAUUUGUUACUUGGCCGUUGUUGAAUUUUGUCGCGGUCCCGGCGAGCUCCGAUUGUCGACAUCCUGUUGAUUGCGAGAAUCAGAUCCGAUUUGUUUGUAAACUCAUUGAGGUUUGUUUCCUUGUUUCAUUUGGCUUUAGUUAAUUCAUGAAUCUUUGGACUUAUUUUUGGAGGAAUAAAUUUGAGCUUGAAUGAUUGAUAUUUUGAGUGUUCUUUCAUUUGGAUUAUUAAACUACCGCCUCAUUAUCUCAUUCUUUUUAACAAUCAGUUGAGUCAAAUUAUUUGCUGAGAUAGUAGAUCGAAUUAGUUGUGUCAAAGGCGCUUUUCAUUAUCUAUUUCACGAGUACAUGUGUUCGUGCGCAUUCUGUGCAUCGGAAUUUUCUUUGGAUAGUCUUGAGAGUAUUUAAUUCGUUUGAUUUCGCAUCUUUUAAUUCUGAAGAGUUCAGUGUGAAGUGAAUCAGUUCGUUAAUGCAAUAUAGGUUGUGAUUGAUUUUAAUAUUGAUUUCAUUGUCAAGAUGUUCAAAUUGGGCUAGUUGUUUGUCUUUUAGCAGUAGACAUUUUUAUGUAAUACUCCACCCCUUUUCCUUGUGUUAGUAAUCCCAAUAGGUGUUGUUGACUAUAUGUGUUUUUUUUUUGGGAAAUAGAAUCAGGUCAUUAGUCUAGCCUUAACAAUAUGAUUGAUACUGUGUUCCAUGGUAGUUAUAUUUUGCCAAAAGUAACUACAAAGCUAGUUUUCCCAUAAUCCAUAGCUCAAAUCCGAAAUGGUUAUGAGUUGGGUUGUCCUCUUAUUACACUAAUUAAAUAAGCUUUCUAAAAUUGAUACGAGCCUCGCCCAAAGGAAUACAAAUUAUAGGGCUCUCAAUAAAGGUUUAAAAAAUAUUUAGAAAAUCGGAAAGGCCCGUUUAGAGAAAUUCACGGCCAUUCCAAAAAAUUACAAUGUGUUAGACUCUAUUAAGCGCGACUU
rnacentral:lncRNA from 1 species